rnacentral:rRNA from 1 species
GCCAGCCCGCUCAGUCAGAGUUUGAUCCUGGCUCAGGACGAACGCUGGCGGCGUGCUUAACACAUGCAAGUCGAACGCUGAAGCACCAGCUUGCUGGUGUGGAUGAGUGGCGAACGGGUGAGUAAUACGUGAGUAACCUGCCCUUGACUCUGGGAUAAGCCCGGGAAACUGGGUCUAAUACUGGAUGCUACAUGUCACCGCAUGGUGGUGUGUGGAAAGGGUUUACUGGUCUUGGAUGGGCUCACGGCCUAUCAGCUUGUUGGUGAGUAAUGGCUCACCAAGGCGACGACGGGUAGCCGGCCUGAGAGGGUGACCGGCCACACUGGGACUGAGACACGGCCCAG